CAAUAUAACGUUGAAACACCAGUCCCCGUAGGAUCAUUCAAGUUAAGCAACGUCGAGCCUGGUCAUUACCUAGAUGUGUGACAGCUUGGGAAUACCAGGUGCUGUAAG